GAUGAACGCUGGCGGCGUGCCUAAUACAUGCAAGUCGAGCGAACAGACGAGGAGCUUGCUCCUCUGACGUUAGUGGCGGACGGGUGAGUAACACGUGGAUAACCUACCUAUAAGACUGGGAUAACUUCGGGAAACCGGAGCUAAUACCGGAUAAUAUAUUGAACCGCAUGGUUCAAUAGUGAAAGACGGUUUUGCUGUCACUUAUAGAUGGAUCCGCGCCGCAUUAGCUAGUUGGUAAGGUAACGGCUUACCAAGGCAACGAUGCGUAGCCGACCUGAGAGGGUGAUCGGCCACACUGGAACUGAGACACGGUCCAGACUCCUACGGGAGGCAGCAGUAGGGAAUCUUCCGCAAUGGGCGAAAGCUUGACGGAGCAACGCCGCGUGAGUGAUGAAGGUCUUCGGAUCGUAAAACUCUGUUAUUAGGGAAGAACAAAUGUGUAAGUAACUAUGCACGUCUUGACGGUACCUAAUCAGAAAGCCACGGCUAACUACGUG
rnacentral:rRNA from 1 species